rnacentral:rRNA from 1 species
CAGCCGCCGCGGUAAUACGAAGGGGGCUAGCGUUGCUCGGAAUUACUGGGCGUAAAGGGCGCGUAGGCGGACAGUUCAGUCGGGGGUGAAAGCCCGGGACUCAACCUCGGAAUUGCCUUCGAUACUGGCUGUCUUGAGUAUGAGAGAGGUGUGUGGAACUCCGAGUGUAGAGGUGAAAUUCGUAGAUAUUCGGAAGAACACCAGUGGCGAAGGCGACACACUGGCUCAUUACUGACGCUGAGGCGCGAAAGCGUGGGGAGCAAACCGGAUUAGAUACCCCAGUAGUCCCUGUCUCUUAUAC